AUAACAAAUUCUAAGGGAAUCUACUGGAUUUCAGCGGUAAUGGAAUGCCCAUCACGGGGCGCGCUGCCGGAUACAUUCGACAGUUACGCGUGCAGGGAUGCGGCACUGCUAACUUCGCUGGCUCAUGAUUUUGUCCAAGUUCUAUUAUCUGUACAAUGUCCACAUUAUAACGAUUCACUUUUCUAAAUGCGAAACCGUUACGACCAUUUGGCUCUUGCAGGCAGUACGGUAUAUCCAUACUUACUUGGGAAUCCUUCUGUUGGUUACCACCCGAAAAAAGGAGUACGGUCGACAGCAGUUCCUUGCGAAUGGUUGACAUUUACUCCUGUGGUCUAAUCUUGUUUGACAUACUGACAAUGGGAAAGCUUUUAGAGAAAAUUAGAUCAUAUGCCCAAGCUGAAGAAAGUCUGUACGAAAUUUUUUCUGGGACAACAAUUUUCUCGUGUUUGCCUGAAUUCGAAGUGAUACUGCGGUCGUGCAUCGCUCAGGAUCCGCUACAGCGACCAGACAUAAAAAGUCUAAUCCGUGCUCUGGACACUAUCAAUCCGCUGCUGGCUGCACAGGACAGGAAUACUACGCUCUUUGACCAAAUCUGUGCAGGGAUGGAAAACUGUUCAACCGAACUGGAAUAUCAAGUUACAAAGAGGACCGCCGAACUGAUAGAAGAAACAGAUAGAUGCGACGCAAUUAUAAAUCGAAUCUUACCACGAUCUAUCGCCAAACAGCUUCGGGCAGGUGAUAAAGUUCUACCUGAAUAUUUCGAAUGCGCCACCAUUCUGUUUACCGAUUUACAUGGAUUCGCUGACUUCGUUGAGAUCAACCUACCUGAGAUGACGA